rnacentral:rRNA from 1 species
CAGCCGCCGCGGGAAUACGUAGGGUGCAAGCGUUAAUCGGAAUUACUGGGCGUAAAGCGUGCGCAGGCGGUUCGUUAAGACAGAUGUGAAAUCCCCGGGCUUAACCUGGGAACUGCAUUUGUGACUGGCGAGCUAGAGUAUGGCAGAGGGGGGUAGAAUUCCACGUGUAGCAGUGAAAUGCGUAGAGAUGUGGAGGAAUACCGAUGGCGAAGGCAGCCCCCUGGGCCAAUACUGACGCUCAUGCGCGAAAGCGUGGGGAGCAAACAGGAUUAGAUACCCGCGUAGUCCCUGUCUCUUAUAA